rnacentral:rRNA from 1 species
CGCGUAGGCGGUUUACACAGUCAGAUGUGAAAUCCCCGCGCUUAACGUGGGCAUUGCAUUUGAAACUAUGUAGCUAGAGUUCUGUAGAGGGGGGUAGAAUUCCAGGUGUAGCGGUGAAAUGCGUAGAGAUCUGGAGGAAUACCGAUUGCGAAGGCAGCCCCCUGGACAGUGACUGACGCUCAUAUGCGAAAGCGUGGGGAUCAAACAGGAUUAGAUACCCCUGUA